UACGAAGGACCCGAGCGUUAUCCGGAUUUAUUGGGUUUAAAGGGUGCGUAGGCGGAUUAGUAAGUCAGUGGUGAAAGCCCAUCGCUUAACGGUGGAACUGCCAUUGAUACUGCUAGUCUUGAAUAUUGUGGAGGCAAGCGGAAUAUGUCAUGUAGCGGUGAAAUGCUUAGAUAUGACAUAGAACACCCAUUGCGAAGGCAGCUUGCUACACAAUGAUUGACGCUGAGGCACGAAAGCGUGGGGAUCAAACAGG
rnacentral:rRNA from 1 species